rnacentral:lncRNA from 1 species
AAACCCUCCUUAACUCUCCCUUUCCAGCUUUCCCCAAAGUCCACAGAAGCUCUGCUGAACUCUAGAAAUCUUCCCUGGCCGGGGGGAAGUUUCCUAGCAUCCUCUUUGGCUAAGACAGGUAGUGGAGAAAACAGUCGGGGCUGUACUGGACGCUGUUUGGGGGAGACGCGAUCUUCCUCUCGCCCCCUCCAGCCACUCCGACUGCCCGGGAAGUCCCAGCCCGCGCUCUCCGGAACCUGGCUCGCCAUCUCGCCCUGGACUUGGAACUACGCAUCUGAGACCUGCUGGACGUUUUGCUGGCUGUUUUGCAAGACUCAGGGGUGCGCCCAAGAUGACCAAAUAGGAAUAGCUCCAGCCUCCAGUUCCCAGCGUGAGCGACACAGAAGACGGGUGAUUUCUGCAUUUUCAACUGAGGUACUGGGUUCAUCUCACUGGGGAGUGCCGGACAAUCGGUGCUGGUCAGCUGGUGCAGCCCGACCAGCGAGAGCUGAAGCAGGGUGAGGCAUUGCCUCACCUGGGAAGUGCAAGGGGGAAGGGAAUCCCUUUUCCUAGCCAAGGGAAACAGAAAGACAUCACCUGGAAAAUUGGGUAAUUUCCACCCUAAUACUGCGCUUUACCAAGGGUCUUAGCAAACGGCACACUAGGAGAUUAUAUCCCACACCUGGCCCAGAGGGUCCCCUGCCCACGGAGUCUCCCUCAUUGCUGGCACAGCAGUCUGAGAUCUAACUGCAAGGUGGCAGUGAGGCUGGAGGAGGGAUGCCUGCCGUUACUGAGGCUUAAGUGGGUAAACAAAGCCACUGGGAAGCUAAAAUUGGGUGGAGCCCACCUCAGCUCAAGGAGGCUGGCCUGCCUCUGUAGACUCCUCCUCUGGGGACAGGGCAUAGCUAAGCAAAAAGCAGCAGAAACCUCGGCAGAGGUAAAUGCCCCUGUCUGAUAGGUUUGAAGAGAGCAGUGGAUCUCCCAGCACGGAGGUUGAGAUCUGAGAAGGGACAGACUGCCUGCUCAAGUGGGUCCCUGACCCCUGAGUAGCCUAACUGGGAGACAUCCCCCACUAGGGGCAGUAUGACACCUCACACCUCACAUGGUGGGGUACACCCCUUAGACGAAGCUUCCAGAGCAAGAAUCAGACAGCAACACUCGCUGUUCAGCAAUAUUCUAUCUUCUGCAUCCUCCGCUGCUGAUACCCAGGCAAACAGCGUCUGGAGUGGACCUCAAGCAAACUCCAACAGACCUACAGCUGAGGGUCCUGACUGUUAGAAGGAAAACUAACAAACAGAAAGGACAGCCACACCAAAACCCCAUCAGUACAUCACCAUCAUCAAAGACCAAAGGCAGAUAAAACCACAAAGAUGGGGAAAAAGCAGUGCAGAAAAGCUGUAAAUUCAAAAAAUCAGAGCGCAUCUCCCCUUCCAAAGGAACGCAGCUCAUUGCCAGCAACGGAACAAAGCUGGACGGAGAACGACUUUGAC